GUUGCUAUUUUGUGGCAUAAUUAUAUUUCAUAAAAUGUAUUCUGUUACUUGUGGUUUCACUAUUUUACAAGAGACUUGAUUCUAGCGAUGAUAAAUAAAACAACGCAGACUUCACAGUAGUAUAAUUUGUUUUUCUUGAAUACAUCGGCCGACACAGAACAGAAACAUGGCUUCCUUCAGGAAAUUCUUGUUAUUGGAGCCAGUUGCCAAAAUCAAAUCAGCCAAUGACCCCCGACCUCUCCGUUGUCAUCACACUGAUCAUGUACUGUAACCAAAGUGACUUUCAACAAUCAGGGGCCUUUAUUACAUCAUCGCCAAUAGAAAGAGAAUGUUUAAACAUUUUUUACAAUCAGUGUUCCUUCACAAACUGUAACCAGUCACCACCUAUCAGCCAAUCACAAUCUCAAAAAAUGUAGUGAAUAUGUUUUCCUCAGAGGCAACUAGUUUUACCUCUGUAAUAUGAAGUUUAAAUACUCUCCUGAAAUCAGACAACUUCCUAAAAAUAUAUUAAAAUAAUGUCACAUCACCCCUCUAAGUCCAUUAAAUAUUCUAAAAGACCCAUUCUGUGUACUGAGGAAAAACCUACCGAGGAUAGAGUAUCUGUGUACUGAGGAAAGCCUACAGAUGGAUAGAGCAUUCUGUGUACUGAGGAAAGCCUACAGAUGGAUAGAGCAUUCUGUGUACAGAGGAAAGCCUACAGAUGGAGGAAGCAUUCUGUGUACUGAGGAAAGCCUACAAAGGAACAGGCAGUCAUCAAAAACUCUACAACUCAACUCGAUAGCCUAUAAACUCAACUCGCAUAGCCUAUCAACUCAAUACCCAAUCACUCGACUCCCUAUCGCUAUCAACUCGACUCGAUACCUCGAUAGCCUAUCACCAACAUCAACUCGAUAGCCUGUCACCAACUCGAUAGCCUAUCACCAACAUCAACUCGAUAGCCAAUCACCAACAUCAACUCGAUAGCCUAUCACCACAUCAACUCAUGCUACACCAACAUCAACUCUAGCCAUCACCAACAUCAACUCGAUAGCCUAUCACCAACAUCAACUCGAUAGCCUAUCACCAACCAUCAACUCGAUAGCCUAUCACCAACAUCAACUCGUAGCCUAUCACCAACAUCAACUCGAUAGCCUCUACCAACAUCACACUCGAUAGCCAUCACCAACUCAACUGAUAGCCUAUCACCCACAUCAACUCGAUAGCCUUCACCAACAUCAACUCGAUAGCCUAUCACCAACACUCAAAACUCGAUAGCCUAUCACCUAACAUCACACUCGAUAGCCUAUCACCAACAUCAACUCGAUAGCUUAUCACCAAUAUCAACUCGAUGCCUCACCAAUCGAUAGCCUAUCACCAAUAUCAACUCGUAGCCUAUCACCAAUAUCAGCUCGAUAGCCUAUCACCAAUAUCAGCUCGAGCCAUCACCAAGAUCAGCUCGAUAGCCUUCACCAAUAUCAGCGCGAUAGCUUAUCACCAAUAUCAGCUUCGAAGCCUAUCACCAAUAUCAAACUCGAUAGCCUAUCCCAAUCAUCGAUAGUCUCACAUCAGCUCGAUAGCCUA
ensembl:lncRNA